CGUCCCUGCACUAGCAGAGCAAGGAUCCAAGACCUGCAGAGCCAGGAUUUCUUCCCAACAAAUAUCUUAACCUACUCAAAGAGAGGAGCUGACCACCCUGGGACAUGUGUAGGGAGCAGCAAUGGAAAGGCAAGACAAACUUGGGUCCAAAGCCUACUCCCAGCAUCCAUCAGGGAAAGCAGGAGUACCUGUAAAGAAUUUCCACGGAACCACGCCAGACACGGGAAAUCAUAUAAGGAAAUUUAUUAAGCAAUCAGAGUGUCUCCCUGCAGGGCAGAGCUAUCUCUCCCUGAGUGCACACCCACCAUAGGAACAAAGUAACCCAGACUUUGGGGAUGGUACCAGAAGAUCUCAGAAAUGACCAUCUCUCAAAUUAACAAGUGAAUUACAACUCCAGCAGAAUGUAGCCCCCGUUCCUGCUGAUGGGGAGAA